UCGACGGCAGCGCGGGGCAACCUGGCGGCGAGUGGCGAACGGGUGAGUAAUAUAUCGGAACGUACCCUGGAGUGGAGGAUAACGUAGCGAAAGUUACGCUAAUACCGCAUACGAUCCAAGGAUGAAAGCAGGGGACCGCAAGGCCUUGUGCUCCUGGAGCGGCCGAUAUCUGAUUAGCUAGUUGGCGGGGUAAAAGCCCACCAAGGCAACGAUCAGUAGCUGGUCUGAGAGGACGACCAGCCACACUGGAACUGAGACACGGUCCAGACUCCUACGGGAGGCAGCAGUGGGGAAUUUUGGACAAUGGGCGCAAGCCUGAUCCAGCAAUGCCGCGUGAGUGAAGAAGGCCUUCGGGUUGUAAAGCUCUUUUGUCAGGGAAGAAACGGUGGGGGCUAAUAUCCCCUGCUAAUGACGGUACCUGAAGAAUAAGCACCGGCUAACUACGUGCCAGCAGCCGCGGUAAUACGUAGGGUGCAAGCGUUAAUCGGAAUUACUGGGCGUAAAGCGUGCGCAGGCGGUUUUGUAAGUCUGUCGUGAAAUCCCCGGGCUCAACCUGGGAAUUGCGAUGGAGACUGCAAGGCUAGAGUUUGGCAGAGGGGGGUAGAAUUCCACGUGUAGCAGUGAAAUGCGUAGAUAUGUGGAGGAACACCGAUGGCGAAGGCAGCCCCCUGGGUCAAAACUGACGCUCAUG
rnacentral:rRNA from 1 species